ACAGGGUGUGGUGGUGCACACCUAUAAUCUCUGCUACCUUGGGAGGCUGUGACUGGUGAUCUCUUGGCUACAGUGAGCUAUGCUUGUUGGUUUUCUGAACUAAGUUCAGUAUUGUGAUGGUAAGCCAGGAGGAGCAGGAGGCCAGCAGGUUACCACAGGAGGAGUGAACCAGCCCAGGGUGGAAAUGGAGCAGGUCAGAGUUGCCAUGCCAAUGAGUAGUGAGAUCGGGCUGGUGAGUAAUCAUUGCACUUCCAGCCUGGGGGAGAUAGAGAGAACCGGUCUUU
rnacentral:SRP_RNA from 1 species